AUGGUUGCAUCUACAAUGUGGAGAACAGAGAAUACACCAGCUGAUCAGACAGAUCACUACACCUGUGGUCUAGGAGAAAAGGUGCCAGCCAGAAAGGUCUUUGGCUCCAGCCCCAGGCUUUCAACUAUUAGAGUGAGCAAUGCCAGACUUUUGUUUUCCUGUCAGUUGUUUUUCCCCUUUUUCAGAGUGAGCAAUGCCAGACUUGUUUUCCUGUCAGUUGUUUUUCCCCUUUUUUCCAUAGGUGCUUAAGAAGCACUGGCAAAACAUUUCAAGUAGCUGCCCAUGCAAAAUGCAUUUCCUACCUUUCCUGUGUGUAUAUAAUUUCAACAGCCCAACUGCAGUACUUCUAACUUCAUCUGUACCUCUACAUAACUUGAGCAUCUACACCUGAAAAAACUCUCAAAACCAAACAAGGAAGCAGACAUCAUCAAGCUACCCUCCAAGCAACUUUUCCAGCACAGUUUCCAUAAUGGCCUAUGCACGCAAGCAGAUGUAGAUCUUUAUUGUUUUACUAUCUGAUUGAAAUACAAUGCUGUUCAAAAGCAACUGCUCACAGGUAAAGAGACAGAGCCACCUAAACCCUCACUCAGGCUUGGUUUAUACAGGGGGUGUUUUGAGUACACUGUCAAAAGUACCAGGACUCCUUUCAUCCUGCAACACUUCAAGUUAUUGGAUUGUAAACCACACUUCUCUAAAAGAAGUUCCAGUCACAAGAUACUGUUUCAACAUAAAUAUUGAAGCAACUGGGCGUUGAUUAACGUAUUUCUUUUAAGGUUCAGUCAUCAAGGUUAAGGUAAAGAAACAGAUUUCUUUUUGCAAUAUUCAUUAAUAUGAUGAGAAAUAUUACCUAUGGACCUUCUCUAUAAAGUACUAGUAAUUAUCGUUGACUAUUAUUAAAAUAGUCAAGGCUUGGAAGGCAAUGAGGUUGAAGCACAGCAGUAAAAUUGACUAUUAUUAUAAUAGUCAAGGCUGGGAAGGCAAUGAGGUUGAAGCACAGCAGUAAAAAAAAAAAAAAAAAUUAAAUUGUCAAAAGCCAACAGUGUAAAUUUUAGAAGCAAACAUCUCAAAUAUUAGUGAUGAAAUGAUGGUAUCAAAGUACCAUACUGAUUCAAACUACUGGGCACAUUUUGGAAGUGGAACAUAUUUCGGUAGCAAACCAGUCAAACAGACCAGGACUAAAACCUAGCAUUUUGUGGAGAGCCCUCCCAUUUGCUACCUGCUGUUUGGCAUGAU
rnacentral:lncRNA from 1 species